rnacentral:rRNA from 2 species
GGGAACCUGAAUCCAGCAAUGCCGCGUGAGUGAUGAAGGCCUUCGGGUUGUAAAGCUCUUUUACCCGGGAUGAUAAUGACGGUACCGGGAGAAUAAGCUCCGGCUAACUCCGUGCCAGCAGCCGCGGUAAUA